ensembl:lncRNA
UGUUAGGUCUACCAACUUCCUUCUUGAAGGUGAUAGGAUUCUUAAUACAUUCUAAUCAACUGUAGUGGACCACAGACAGACAUCAGAGAGGUACCAGUGGAGAUGCAUAUCAAAGCAACUACUCAAUUACUAGUAAUCAUACAGUAGAUAUUACCAUUAGGAGUCAGGUAGAAAGGUAAUCAUACAGUAGAUAUUACCAUUAGGAGUCAGUUAGAAAGGUAAUCAUACAGUAGAUAUUACCAUUAGGAGUCAGUUAGAAAGGUAAUCAUACAGUAGAUAUUACCAUUAGGAGUCAGUUAGAAAUGUAAUCGUAAGUAAGUUAAUACUAUAAGUAAAAGUAAAAAUCAUAUGUAUUACAAUAAAAGGUCAGACUGAAUUAGUUGAUUAAUUGAUUGAUUGGGGUAAUCAUUGAUAUUUGGUACGGUUAGAUAAGAUGGCCGAGUACGUCAACAAACAG